rnacentral:rRNA from 1 species
GACGAACGCUGGCGGCGUGCCUAAUACAUGCAAGUAGAACGCUGAAGAGAGGAGCUUGCUCUUCUUGGAUGAGUUGCGAACGGGUGAGUAACGCGUAGGUAACCUGCCUUGUAGCGGGGGAUAACUAUUGGAAACGAUAGCUAAUACCGCAUAACAAUGGAUGACACAUGUCAUUUAUUUGAAAGGGGCAAUUGCUCCACUACAAGAUGGACCUGCGUUGUAUUAGCUAGUAGGUGAGGUAAUGGCUCACCUAGGCGACGAUACAUAGCCGACCUGAGAGGGUGAUCGGCCACACUGGGACUGAGACACGGCCCAGACUCCUACGGGAGGCAGCAGUAGGGAAUCUUCGGCAAUGGGGGCAACCCUGACCGAGCAACGCCGCGUGAGUGAAGAAGGUUUUCGGAUCGUAAAACUCUGUUGUAAGUCAAGAACGGGUGUGAGAGUGGAAAGUUCACACUGUGACGGUAGCUUACCAGAAAGGGACGGCUAACUACGUG